rnacentral:rRNA from 1 species
CCUGGUUGAUCCUGCCAGUAGCAUAUGCUUGUCUCAAAGAUUAAGCCAUGCAUGUCUAAGUACAAGCCGCUAUGCGGCGAAACCGCGAAUGGCUCAUUAAAUCAGUUAUGGUUCCUUAGAUCGUACCAUCCUACUUGGAUAACUGUGGUAAUUCUAGAGCUAAUACAUGCAAAGAAGCCCCGACCUCACGGGAGGGGUGCUUUUAUUAGAUCAAAACCAAUCGGGCUUCGGCCCGUCCACUUGGUGACUCUGAAUAACUUUGAGCUGAUCGCACGGUCUCGAACCGGCGACGCAUCUUUCAAAUGUCUGCCUUAUCAACUGUCGAUGGUAGGUUAUGCGCCUACCAUGGUUGCAACGGGUAACGGGGAAUCAGGGUUCGAUUCCGGAGAGGGAGCCUGAGAAACGGCUACCACAUCCAAGGAAGGCAGCAGGCGCGCAAAUUACCCACUCCCGGCACGGGAGGUAGUGACGAAAAAUAACGAUACGGGACUCUUCCGAGGCCCCGUGAUUGGAAUGAGUACACUUUAAAUCCUUUAACGAGGACCUAUUGGAGGGCAAGUCUGGUGCCAGCAGCCGCGGUAACUCCAGCUCCAAUAGCGUAUAUUAAAGUUGUUGCGGUUAAAAAGCUCGUAGUUGGAUUCCGGUCUCGGCCGGGUGGUGCCGCCUUUCACGGUGUUCGCACUGCCCAGGCCGGACAAUCAACCGGACUCUAUCCGGGGUGCUCUUAACCGGGUGUCCCGGGUGGCCGGUACGUUUACUUUGAACAAAUUAGAGUGCUCAAAGCAGGUGCAUCGCGCCUGAAUAUCACAGCAUGGAAUGAUGGAAUAGGACCUCGGUCUUAUUUUGUUGGUUUUCUGGACCCGAGGUAAUGGUUAAUAGAGACAGACGGGGGCAUUCGUACUGCGACGCUAGAGGUGAAAUUCUUGGACCGUCGCAAGACGAACAACUGCGAAAGCAUUUGCCAAGAAUGUUUUCAUUAAUCAAGAACGAAAGUUAGAGGUUCGAAGGCGAUCAGAUACCGCCUAGUUCUAACCAUAAACGAUGCCAACCAGCGAUCCGCCGAAGUUACUCCCAUGACUCGGCGGGCAGCUUCCGGGAAACCAAAGUUUUUGGGUUCCGGGGGAAGUAUGGUUGCAAAGCUGAAACUUAAAGGAAUUGACGGAAGGGCACCACCAGGAGUGGAGCCUGCGGCUUAAUUUGACUCAACACGGGAAACCUCACCAGGCCCGGACACUGGAAGGAUUGACAGAUUGAGAGCUCUUUCUUGAUUCGGUGGGUGGUGGU